AGCUCCAAGAGCGUAUAUUAAAGUUGUUGCAGUUAAAAAGCUCGUAGUUGGAUUUCUGGUAUAAUGCGCCUGGCCCGCGACGGUUACGUCUGUGAGUGCCGGUGCGCGUUUGCCAUCCUUCUAGAAAACGUUUCUACCCUUCACUGGGCCGGACUCGCGAUCUAGAUCUUUUACUUUGAAAAAAUUAGAGUGUUUAAAGCAGGCUUUUGCUAUGCAUACAUUAGCAUGGAAUAAUAAUCUAGGACUUCGGUUCUAUUUUGUUGGUUUCUAUAACUGAAGUAAUGAUUGAUAGGGAUAGUUGGGGGUGCUAGUAUUGGCCGGCCAGAGGUGAAAUUCUUGGAUUCGGUCAAGACUAACUUAUGCGAAAGCAUUCACCAAGGAUGUCUUCUUUAAUCAAGAA
rnacentral:rRNA from 1 species